UCAUCCACAAGCUCGCAGAGUUUGAGAUAAUAGAGAGAGAAAGAGAGGGAGAGAAAUGCCCAUCGCCACUCUAUCUCUAGCGGCUUCAAACCCUCGCCUCUCUCUCUCCCAAACCCUAAAACCCCUCACCGUUCUCCCCAAAUCCCUCUCCUCCCCCCUCCCCUCUUCACCCCCUCCCUCUCCCUCUCCCUCUCCCUCUCCCUCUCCCUCCUCCUCGUCGUCGUCGUUGUCGUCAUCGUCGUCGUCAGAUGCCGCAUCCUCUUCUUCUUCGUCGUCGUCGUCCAAUUCGUGUUUGGGGUCGAUCUCUCUGAGCAGGAGGAAGCUUCUCGCGGCGGCGGGGUGUGGGGUUUUGGCUUCGAUGGUGGCGGCGGCGUCGGAGGCGGAGGCGACGCGGAUCGAGUACUACGCCACGGUGGGGGAGCCGCUCUGCGACAUGAGCUUCGCCAAGUCGGGGCUCGGCUUCUGCGACAUCGCCCUCGGCACCGGGGUUCAGGCCCCACGAGGAGAGCUCAUCAAUAUUCACUAUACUGCAAGAUUUGCGGAUGGGACUGUGUUUGAUAGUAGUUAUAAGCGAGGAAGACCACUCACAAUGCGCAUAGGUGUGGGGAAGGUCCUCCGAGGCCUUGACCAAGGGAUUCUUGGUGGUGGCGGUGUGCCACCAAUGCUUGUUGGGGGGAAGCGUAAACUUAUGAUACCUCCAAUGUUAGCCUAUGGCCCUGAACCAGCAGGUUGCUUUUCAGGGGACUGCAACAUUCCUAGCAAUGCAACUCUUCUCUAUGACAUCCUUUUUGUUGGAAUAUACAAGUGAGCGUCGGCACUUGCAACUCAUGGUGUUUGGCAUUUGAAGGGACCAUGGUAAUAACUUUAAGGGGUGUAUCUUUAUGCGGAACAAAGUACUAGUGUUAGAAUGUGGAAGCAAAUAUCUUCAACGGAGUACCGGAGCAUCAAAACUUCCUGCUGAGAAGGUUGGCUCACAAGGAUUAUUGUGUUAUCUGGUGCAGAAAAUGUUGACGAACAUGGCCUCUUUCAGUCAGAAGAAACGGCUCUUCAGAGUUAUGUAAUUUGUACAUGUUUAUAGAGCAGCAUCUUCUCUUUUAUUUUGCAAUCAUAUUUUCACCCCCAGGCAUCGACUGCAUACGACAUUGACAACGACUACCUUCUUUGCUUUGGAUCCUGCAACUUGGAAGCAACCCAAAAGACCUAAAUAAAGAAGGAAAAUCAUACAGCAGUUCUAAUUAUAAUUUCAAUGAGAAAUGCAAAUACUCUUUACUCUAUUCAA